UACGGAGGAUCCAAGCGUUAUCCGGAAUCACUGGGCGUAAAGAGUUGCGUAGGUGGCAUAGUAAGCAAGGUGUGAAAGCGUCCCGCUCAACGGGAUAAACAUAUCUUGAACUGCUAAGCUAGAGUAUAAGAGAGGUAGCUGGAAUUUCUAGUGUAGGAGUGAAAUCCGUAGAUAUUAGAAGGAACACCGAUGGCGUAGGCAGGCUACUGGCUUAUUACUGACACUAAGGCACGAAAGCGUGGGGAGCGAACGGG
rnacentral:rRNA from 1 species